rnacentral:rRNA from 1 species
UUCCGGUUGAUCCUGCCGGAGGCCAUUGCUAUCGGGGUCCGAUUUAGCCAUGCUAGUCGCACGGGUUCAGACCCGUGACUAAAAGCUCAGUGACACGUGGCCAAACUACCCUGUGGAUCGGGACAACCUCGGGAAACUGAGGCUAAUCCCGAAUAGGGCUCACAGCCUGGAGUGGCGUGAGUCCCGAAACGCUCCAGCGCCACAGGAUGUGGCUGCGGCAGAUUAGGUUGACGGUGGGGUAACGGCCCACCGUGCCCAUAAUCGGUACGGGUUGUGAGAGCUAGAGCCCGGAGACGGUAUCUGAGACAAGAUACCGGGCCCUACGGGGCGCAGCAGGCGCGAAACCUUUACACUGCGCGAGAGCGCGAUAAGGGGACCCCGAGUGCGAGGGCAUAUAGUCCUCGCUUUUCUGGACUGUAGGGAGGUCCAAGAAUAAGGGCUGGGCAAGACCGGUGCCAGCCGCCGCGGUAAUACCGGCAGCCCGAGUGAUGGCCGAUUUU